GCCGCGGUAGCUCAGCCUGGCUAGAGCGUUGCCCUGGUAAGGCAAAGGUCCCGGGUUCAAAUCCCGGCCGCG
rnacentral:tRNA from 1 species